AGAUGUGAAGGCGAUCUGGCUGUGACAUCUGUCACCCUGUUGAUCACCAGGGCUGAUCCGGUUGACCUGGCUGGCUGGGCAGAUGUCCCCUUCCUCCUCACAACUGCAUGUGCAUCCCUCCCGAAGCUUCGCACUCGGUAGAAGAGGAUGACCUUCCCUGGCAGAGGAGGACCAUUCUUUGGUCAAGGGUAUCCGAGUGGCUGCACUCCCCUGCUAGGACCCCCAAACAAGCUCUCAAGGUCCAUUUGUAGGAGAAAACGGAGGGUAGUCAAGCUUCCAAGACCCAAGACACAUCCAAAAUGAGGCGCUGCAUGUGGCUGCUUUCUUAUAAGU
rfam:Canis lupus familiaris chromosome 28, whole genome shotgun sequence.